CCACACGAUCCAAGAUCGACACUUUUUGUGAACUGUAACACUGUAUUGAUCAUCAACUCCAUGUCACCAAUCUUUUUUCUUCGUGAGGGGAGAAAGGCGGCGUGGGCUCAAGUUGUGAUUAGUACCCUUUUAACACCAACUAAACAAAAAUGAACAAUGCAUUGGAACUUAAAUGUUAUGCUACAAGUUCGUCUUGUCAUAACGCUAGAUUGAAAAUUGUAAAA
rnacentral:misc_RNA from 1 species